rnacentral:rRNA from 1 species
UGCCAGCAGCCGCGGUAAUACGGAGGGAUCGAACGUUAAUCGGAAUUACUGGGCGUAAAGCGCGCGUAGGCGGUUCGGUAAGUGGGAUGUGAAAGCCCUGGGCUCAACCCGGGAACUGCAUUCCAAACUGCCGGACUAGAGUAUGGUAGAGGGAGGUAGAAUUUCCUGUGUAGCGGUGAAAUGCGUAGAUAUAGGAAGGAAUACCGAUGGCGAAGGCAGCCUCCUGGACCAAUACUGACGCUGAGGUGCGAAAGCGUGGGGAGCAAACAGGAUUAGAUA